UGGCGGACGGGUGAGUAAUGUCUGGGAAACUGCCCGAUGGAGGGGGAUAACUACUGGAAACGGUAGCUAAUACCGCAUAAUGUCUACGGACCAAAGAGGGGGACCUUCGGGCCUCUUGCCAUCGGAUGUGCCCAGAUGGGAUUAGCUAGUAGGUGGGGUAACGGCUCACCUAGGCGACGAUCCCUAGCUGGUCUGAGAGGAUGACCAGCCACACUGGAACUGAGACACGGUCCAG
rnacentral:rRNA from 1 species